AUUCUGAUUAUAAUAUAUAGAAAAAAAAAUAUCUGUCCAUUACUCACGUCUCACGAUCGGUAUAACUAACUUGUUUGAGUUGUUUCUGUCGUUAACCCCGUAGAAUAACAUAUUUAGCUGACGUGUAAGCGUGUGUACAGCCUGACGUAUCGAUUAGAUAAAAACAAACCAAUAACGUGUUCACACGUCAUCCAAUAUGACCGACUUCUUGUGGACACGUAAUGUUUCGUCUUUAUUUGAAGGUGCAGUAAUUUUGCGUCGGCCCAGCCUGUCACUUGCUGUCUUCAACGUGGCCCGACAAACAUUGUUCCAGCAAUACAAAUGUCAGAUUUUGGGAUUUCGAUCCAGAUUUCAUUUCCGUUACUAUCUUAUUUUAUUCAAUU
rnacentral:lncRNA from 1 species